rnacentral:rRNA from 1 species
GUGAUCGGCCACACUGGAACUGAGACACGGUCCAGACUCCUACGGGAGGCAGCAGUAGGGAAUCUUCCGCAAUGGGCGAAAGCCUGACGGAGCAACGCCGCGUGAGUGAUGAAGGUCUUCGGAUCGUAAAACUCUGUUAUUAGGGAAGAACAUAUGUGUAAGUAACUGUGCACAUCUUGACGGUACCUAAUCAGAAAGCCACGGCUAACUACGUGCCAGCAGCCGCGGUAAUACGUAGGUGGCAAGCGUUAUCCGGAAUUAUUGGGCGUAAAGCGCGCGUAGGCGGUUUUUUAAGUCUGAUGUGAAAGCCCACGGCUCAACCGUGGAGGGUCAUUGGAAACUGGAAAACUUGAGUGCAGAAGAGGAAAGUGGAAUUCCAUGUGUAGCGGUGAAAUGCGCAGAGAUAUGGAGGAACACCAGUGGCGAAGGCGACUUUCUGGUCUGUAACUGACGCUGAUGUGCGAAAGCGUGGGGAUCAAACAGGAUUAGAUACCCUGGUAGUCCACGCCGUAAACGA